AUGAACGUGACAGUUCAAAAUCUACCUCUCCCAGCCAAAGCGAAUGCUGAUCAGCUUCUCGUCUCCUGUGCGCCGGAUUCGAGCAUUUUCGAAUCUAAGACUACGAGUGGAAGACGAGAUGAGGACGCAGGUGGGGCUUCUGGUGUUGAGAUCGUGUCGUUCGCUGAAUUCCCAGACAUUCAGCGGAGCGUGAUAUGGGAGAAGUUUGACAUCCUGAUCCACCUGAAGGCUCCACGUCCGCUGGCACUGUCGGCCAGCUCACGCGCCGUGGCGGCCAUCGACAUUCUGGCGGUGCUCGACCUGAGCGGGAGCAUGGCGGGCAAUAAGCUCGCACUCUUGACGCGCAUCGUGAGCUUCGUGAUUGAGAGCCUUGGCCCGAACGACCGGCUCUCUGUCAUCGCCUUCCGACAUUCGGCUUGGAGCCUCUUCCCGUUUCAGAAGAUGACCGCGGCUGGGCGGCGGCAUUCGUUGCAGGCGCUCGCCGACGGAUUCCUCAGUGCCGGCGGCGUCUCGAAUGUCACCGAGGCUCUGCGGAUAGCCGUGAGGGUGAUGGGGGACCGGCAGGCCAGGAACCCCGCAUGCAUCCUCCUCCUUCUCUCCGACGGCCUAGGCGGCCGAGAAACCGCGACGUGGCAAUGCGCUCGGCCGCGCCUGAACUACGACGCGCUCGUCCCGCGCUCCAUCUGCCCGGGCUCAGGCCACCACGUGCGGAUCCACGCCUUCGGCUUGGGUGCGUACCAGGACUCUGCGGUGUUGCGCAGCGUCGCCGAGAUGUCCGGCGGCAUGUUCUCCUCCAUCGACACGCUGGGAGAGAUCCCGGACGUGUUACGCCAGUACAUCGCUGGCCUGCGCACCAUGGUGGCGCAGGAGACACGGCUGAGCUUCCAGUGCGCGGAGCAAGGCGUGCUGCUCACCUCCGUUGCAUCCGGCGGCUACGCGAGCACUAUGGACGGUGACAAGCGUGGCGGCUGCACCUACCGGGUCGCGGUCACCAUGAAAACUGUCUGCAUAGAAGGUGACACGGUGAUCGUCCGUCGCCCUCGGCAUCCGUUGAACCCAUCUCCUAUGUCAGUCGAGGUCAAGCGUGAGCGGCACCGCAUCAGCGCCAUGGAGGGCAUGGCCAUGUCGUGGGACGCCGCGGAGUUAGGCGACUUCGUGCAUGCUGCAAUGAUCUUGGAAGGGCACCGUGUGGAGCUCGAGUCAUGGGCCUCGCUGUCGGCGGACGCACGGACUCUGGCGCUGGUCGCCGAGCUGAGGGAGUUGCAGGACAGGCUGGGGACAAGGCAACGGUACAAGCAUUCCGGCCGCUCGUACAUAUUGGUCGCCCUGAAUGCUCACUCAUGGCGGUGCGCCACGGCAAGCGGCGGCGACUUGGGGGUUCUCGCUGGCCUCACCCACACCUACCAGGCGCCCUGCAUGCUGGACAUGCUGCAUCGGUCACAGUUGCUCCUACCCGAGGCCGUCGAGGAGCUGACCCGCUCGCCGCCGUUGGUGCCAUCCAGCAUCCUCACCUUGUCGGUCGGUCAGAACGACCAAGCUUUCGCUAUGUCUCUGAGACAAAGAUACCGUGACAUGUUUAUGGCAUGUACAUCGUAA
rnacentral:rRNA from 1 species